rnacentral:tRNA from 1 species
CUGCAUAUGUAUGUUUUUAAGAGUCUGGAAAUAGUCUUAUGACUUUCCUAUCAUGCUUAUUAAUAAAUAAUACAGCCCAGAGAAGAUGAAAAUGGGUUCCAGAAUUAUUGGUCCUUGCAGCCCGGUGAAUCUCAGCAAGAGGAACCACCAACUGACAAUCAGGAUAUUGAACCUGGACAAGAGAGAGAAGGAACACCUCCGAUCGAAGAACGUAAAGUAGAAGGUGAUUGCCAGGAAAUGGAUCUGGAAAAGACUCGGAGUGAGCGUGGAGAUGGCUCUGAUGUAAAAGAGAAGACUCCACCUAAUCCUAAGCAUGCUAAGACUAAAGAAGCAGGAGAUGGGCAGCCAUAAGUUAAAAAGAAGACAAGCUGAAGCUACACACAUGGCUGAUGUCACAUUGAAAAUGUGACUGAAAAUUUGAAAAUUCUCUCAAUAAAGUUUGAGUUUUCUCUGAAG